rfam:Cladophialophora yegresii CBS 114405 aczIN-supercont1.6, whole genome shotgun sequence.
UGACUGUUACGGUCCAAAAGUAAGGAGGUUGCCUUGAGCUUGUGAGCGUCGCUUCACACUCCCACUUGUUCAGUUGUGCCUUGCUCGGAAUUUCGGGUCGUUCUUCUACUCGUGUGUGUAAACCACGAUGCUAGGGAACGUUAAGCAAUGGAAAUUACACUUGAGGGAAGCGAUUCUGCAGAGACGUUUCCACCCGGAGUUGGCGGCGUGAGAUUACACACUGGCAAGAUAUGCGAAGUUUCAGGCUCGAUGUGGGUGAUCAACUUUUUGUU